UUAGCGGACCGUGUAUGUUACGAACAGCUGACCCAGUCAUCGGCGUUCUUGACGAUAAGGUAUGCUUCUCAUAAUUUUUCGCAAAAAAUUACUACUGUGCUGGAGCAAGAUACCUGCAUUGCUAAACAACGAAAAGCAGCAAAAGCUAGCUCAUACAAUGAUCAGCCAAGUUGCUCCAGAUUCAAGUAAAGCUAGC
rnacentral:lncRNA from 1 species